rnacentral:rRNA from 1 species
CCCUUAGAUGUUCUGGGCUGCACGCGCGCUACACUGAAGGACUCAACGUGCUUGUCUCCUUGGCCGUCAGGUCUGGGUAACCCGUUGAACCUCCUUCGUGCUAGGGAUUGGGGCUUGUAAUUAUUCCCCAUGAACGAGGAAUUCCCAGUAAGCGCGAGUCAUCAUCUCGCGUUGAUUACGUCCCUGCCCUUUGUACACACCGCCCGUCGCACCUACCGAUUGAAUGGUCCGGUGAAAUCUCGGGACGGCGGCUUGGUCGCUUGCGUCCGACUGCUGAAACUUGAUUAAACCAUAUCAUUUAGAGGAAGGUGAAGUCGUAACA